CAAAGCAAACUUGAAAGUGAAGAGUUUGAUCCUGGCUCAGAUUGAACGCUGGAGGCAUGCUUAACACAUGCAAGUCGAACGGAAACAGCAAGAGCUUGCUCUUGGCUGUCGAGUGGCG
rnacentral:rRNA from 1 species